AUGAAAGAGUUAAUGAAAUAUAAAUUGUCUCAAAAUAAUAUAUUGAAUUUAAAUUAAAAGUAAAAAUGCUUUUAUUAAAUUAUAAGACGAUAAGACCCUAUAGAAUUUAAUAAAUUUUAUUUUUGUAAUUAUUUUAUUUAAUAAAAUUAUAUAAAUAAAUUAUAUUUUAUUGGGAGGAUAAUUAAAUAAGUUAAACUUUAAUAAAAUAUUAACAUUGAUGAAUGAAUAUUUUGAUUAUAU
rnacentral:rRNA from 1 species